GGAAAAGAAACCAACAGGGAUUGCCUCAGUAGCGGCGAGUGAAGCGGCAAAAGCUCAAAUUUGAAAUCUGGCGUCUUUGGCGUCCGAGUUGUAAUUUGAAGAAGGUAUCUUUGGGCCCGGCUCUUGUCUAUGUUCCUUGGAACAGGACGUCACAGAGGGUGAGAAUCCCGUGCGAUGAGAUGACCCGGGUCUGUGUAAAGUUCCUUCGACGAGUCGAGUUGUUUGGGAAUGCAGCUCUAAGUGGGUGGUAAAUUCCAUCUAAAGCUAAAUAUUGGCGAGAGACCGAUAGCGAACAAGUACAGUGAUGGAAAGAUGAAAAGAACUUUGAAAAGAGAGUGAAAAAGUACGUGAAAUUGUUGAAAGGGAAGGGCUUGAGAUCAGACUUGGUAUUUUGCAUGCUGCUCUCUCGGGGGCGGCCGCUGCGGUUUACCGGGCCAGCAUCGGUUUGGAGCGGCAGGAUAAUGGCGGAGGAAUGUGGCACGGCUUCUGCUGUGUGUUAUAGCCUCUGACGAUACUGCCAGCCUAGACCGAGGACUGCGGUUUUUACCUAGGAUGUUGGCAUAAUGAUCUUAAGUCGCCCGUC
rnacentral:rRNA from 1 species